UUUUUUUGUUUUAUUUAAAAAAAUAUAUAUCCCUUGCCAUGUGUCGAUUUUUGUGAGGAUGUGGUUGGGAUUUCAAAAGGAGAGGAAAGUUGCUUGCAAGAGGUGCAUCGUCCCAUGUUUUCCACAACAUGUGUUGGUUUCAUUUAAUUUGUUUGUUUUUAUUAUUAUUAUUAUUCACUUUUUAUUUUAUUAUUUUAUUUUAAUUAGGAUUUAAGUGAGUUUUGAUUGGGCUAUAAAGUCCAUGGUAUUUUGCAACCCCAUAUUCAU
rnacentral:lncRNA from 1 species